AUGCCUCGUAGCCAAAAAAACCAAAACAUAAAACAGAAACAAUUUUGUAACAAAUUCAAUAAAGACUUUAAAAACUGUUCAUAUCAAAGAAUAAAAAACUUUAAAAAAUAUGUGAUUUUUCUUAAAUCUUUUAAAACAGCUCCAGAAGUAUUUAAGAUAAACUUUAUAUUUCCGAAUGGAGACACGUAUGAUGGGGACUGUACAAGAACAUCUUCUGGAGUCAUUGAGAGAAAUGGAAUAGGUAUUCAUACCACUCCUAAUGGGAUUGUCUACACAGGAAGCUGGAAAGAUGACAAGGUAUUAUUAUUGUUUUGA
rnacentral:lncRNA from 1 species